rnacentral:rRNA from 2 species
UGGGGAAUAUUGCACAAUGGGCGAAAGCCUGAUGCAGCAACGCCGCGUGAGGGAUGAAGGCCUUCGGGUUGUAAACCUCUUUUAGCAGGGAAGAAGCGAAAGUGACGGUACCUGCAGAAAAAGCACCGGCUAACUACGUG